UUGUAAGCCAUCCAGCAUCCUUGGGUUUAAGGUGAGUCUUUGCAUUCCUAUGGUGCUUGCUAGAGUAUUCGGAAAUGGUUUGAGGACUUACCUUAUUCCUCAGAACCUGAAGGAGAAUUUGAAGAAUAGAUACUUCAGAGAGUU
rnacentral:snoRNA from 1 species